UACGGGGGGGGUAAGCGUUGUUCGGAAUUACUGGGCGUAAAGGGCUCGUAGGCGGCCAACUAAGUCAGACGUGAAAUCCCUCGGCUUAACCGGGGAACUGCGUCUGAUACUGGUUGGCUUGAGUCCGGGAGAGGGGGGGGUGGAAUUCCCAGUGUAGCGGUGAAAUGCGUAGAUAUUGGGAGGAACACCGGUGGCGAAGGCGGCCCCCUGGACCGGUACUGACGCUGAGGCGCGAAAGCGUGGGUAGCAAACGGG
rnacentral:rRNA from 1 species